UACGAAGGGAGCUAGCGUUGUUCGGAAUUACUGGGCGUAAAGGGCGCGUAGGCGGGUUUCCAAGUCGGGGGUGAAAUUCCAGGGCUCAACCCUGGGACGGCCUUCGAUACUGGGAGCCUGGAGAUCGGGAGAGGUGAGUGGAAUUCCGAGUGUAGAGGUGAAAUUCGUAGAUAUUCGGAGGAACACCAGAAGCGAAGGCGGCUCACUGGCCCGAGACUGACGCUGAGGCGCGAAAGCGUGGGGAGCAAACAGG
rnacentral:rRNA from 3 species